UUCCGUGGUGUCAUGGUCGGAACAUAGGGCUGGUGUACUGAGGAAGCAGGGUUCGAAACCAACCUUCGGAACAAGUUGAGUCACUGGUUAUUUAAGUCAAUAUCCUUCGCGCCAACUUGGGUCCCUGGGCUGUUCUACGGACCCAGUUUCUGCUGCCUGCCCUGUGGACUGGUGACCAGGCCUUCCAGCAUGACGGUGUCAUGCAGCCCUCCCUGCGGACUUGGUCAGCUGUUCUAGCAGUCUGGAGUCUUGAUGCCAACCAUGUCACCACCAAGCAACUGGAUUAAUGCUGGCUGCCACUUUAUGUAGGAUAACCCCGUGGUUUCUGGUUCAGACAACGCAGGGUGGACAGCCGGGCCAAGUUCCGCUUUCUAGCAGACGAGGCAAAGACCAGUCUGGCCUGGCCUUUAGUGCGGGAUUACCAGGAAGCAUGAGAGACAGCACAGCGUCCGACUGUACGAUUAAAGGAGAGCAAGGACUUUCCCGUGGCCCAUGAUUCCAAGACCGCGGGCAUGGACAGCUGGGCUAAGUUCCGCUUCGCCUCAGAGGAGGAGAGCAGCAUCCUAGCUGCAGCAUUCGAAGUUAAGUAGUUACGCUCAACGAACUCUUCGUGUAGUCUCCUUGUGACAUGUGCCUUCGGCUGAUUGUCUGCGCCUCUAAAGCGUUAUCCUUUGCAGCUUGCCAUGUGUAUCAGCGGUUGGACAAAUGCAUUACAGCUGCGAGUUCAGUUAGGCGCACCACUGAAUAUGAUGUCAGCGUGUUGAAAAUGUAGCUUUCCUUCCUUAUUCGGAAACGUAAUUCAACACUUGUUGAAGGGGUGUUCAAGCACUGUUGAAGUCAGCUAUACGUAUUCCAAAGUUUUGACCUAGUUUUGACCUUUUUUGUCAUGGCACCAUAGGUAGAUAAAAUGACGAAUCAGGGAUACGUCAAUAACAAAUCGUGCAGAACGAAAAAUUGUGUGGAGAUGCAACGCACAUAUGGGAAUUAUUUUAAAGUGAUACUUUAUAAUUAAAUGUACACAUGACCCUUAGCUGUAUUGCACUUAAUUUUAAAGUUUCACCCAAGCUACCAAUUGGAUCCAAUGCAACGAGUAAAUUCACGAAUUCUUUCCAUCACAAAAGUGAUGCUUUCACCUCAUAAAUGUUUGUACUUGUUCACUGCAUCAUUCAGAAGCGGUUCCGAAGCACUCACGAAAUAAGUCGGAUGCACAGCGUGAGACGUCUUAGUGGCGAUAUCACGAGAGUGAAGGCGGUGCUUCUCGAGGAGAGAGAGAGAGAGAGAGAUAACAAGGGCAUGGAGGUUAACCGGAGGUAGUUAUGGUUGGCUAACCAUCAUGGGGAGA